UACGGUCACGUCACGUUGAAGCACCGGUUCCUAUAGGUACGCCGAAGUUAAGCAACGUUGCGCCUGUUCAGUGCCUAGAUGAGUUGCCGCUUGGGAAUAACAGAUGCUAU